GCAGGAGCCCGGGAGGCCUUUCGCCCGAGGCGGGCUGCGGGCUGCUGGGGUCUGGUGCGGAGGGCCAACUUCUGGGAAUAACCUGGCUGUGGGCUUAAAAAUCGUAGUCAUUCAUUAUCACGGGCUUCUCUCUCUCGAAUACCUUUAACAUUUAUCGCCUUGUUAGUCUCCACAUCCACCUCCGUGAAAGAGAUGGAGUCUCGCUAUAUUUCCCAGUCUGGCCUCAAACUCCUGAUCUUAAGGGAUCCCCAGCUCAACCUCUCCCAGCAGCUGGGACUACCGGGCUGUCAAAUUUACAUUAACUAUGAGAAUUAAGCAGGAAUUCUCAAGGGUCUCUUUGGAGGCUUACCAAGGACAUCCAGCUGCACAGUGAAGGUGGCUUCUCCUGCUCUAUUCUUGGCAACACAUGCAUAAGCCCCUGCAUCUGAAGCUCUGACUACUUCAAAGAUGAGUGAAUGAAGACCCUUCUCAGACACUAUCAUUUUGUGCAAAUCAUCUGAUUGAACUGUUCUUCCAUUUAGAUACCAUGACACAUCAGGAGCUGGCAGUCCACUCACCUAGAAAGA
rnacentral:lncRNA from 1 species